UGAUUCCUCUGGCCAUUUCACCAGACUACGAAUCUGGGGGCAGGAGUUCGACUUUCUUCGGGCGCGCCA
rnacentral:tRNA from 1 species